GAGUAACUAUGACUCUCUUAAGGUAGCCAAAUGCCUCGUCAUCGUAUCAAAAAAGGGUGAAAUCGGCUCAUUUUGGGCCUAAAAGUAGCUUAAUUGCUUGAAGGAGGGGUCAUUUUCGACGCGGGAAGCGAUUUUCUCGACGGCACGGGUACCAAUUCUGCCAGAAUGAGUACGAUUGCAGUCGAGAAAUUUUUUUCCGCCGUUGAUUUUGGACCGAUUUUACGGUCUCCGACAAGCAGCCGGGCUUUUUCGAGCUCGGGAAAGCCGAUCGAGUGUUGGAGGUCGGGAUUUCCCGACCCCCAAAUGAUCCUUUCGGUGUCCCGAGGUCGGGAAAACACGGUCCAGAGACUAUACAGCUCGGAAAAGAGAGGUAGUCCGUCGAAAGUAGUACCGGAGAGGUCGGUGGAUUCACGAUUUUGGUCGAGAAACCACCGAGAAACCUCGGUGCGGACGAAAAAAGACGUUAAUUUGUGACGCGCAUGAAUGGAUUAAUGAGAUUCCCACUGUCCCUACCUACUAUCUAGCGAAACCACAGCCAAGGGAACGGGCUUGGCACAAUUAGCGGGGAAAGAAGACCCUAAAAGUUCGAUGGGGUCAACAGGGGAACCCGAUUCCUCUAGUCAAACUGACGGUUUUUCGGUGCAAGUGUCAGUUGGCGAGACAACCUGGUACGAGGGAGGCUUGAAAAACAUGCUUAUCUCGUGGCGAGCCUACUUUUAGGGCCGUCGUAACGCGCGGAAAGGUGUCGGUCGGAGGUUUUUCUGAUUUUUUCUGACUUUUUUGGUCCUAAAAUCGAUCGAUUUCGACGUCGGACGAGAAAAUCAAGACGGCAUGCGUACCAAUAUGGUACGGAACAGCAUGGAUACCGUCUUGAAAUUUUUUUUCCCCGUUGAUUUCGACCGAUUUCUCGGUCAAAAAGCUCAUUUGACGGUAAAAAGGGCUGGUUUUCUCGAAAACCACCGUUUUGACUGGGAAAACAGGACCCUCUGGCUUAAGGAACGUGCUAAACCCCACGGAAACGUGGUCUGGAGGUGAAGGGCUUGCACCCCGAAGCCUCCGGAGGUCGAAAUUCGGUCAGGAAAUGGUCCGAAUCAGGUACGAUCGGUACGAUUUUGGUUGAGCUUGACUCCAGGCAUAGAAGCGAGGUGAUUCUAAAGGUGUAGCAUAGGUGGGAGAACCCAGUUCGACCUUGAAAUACCACCACUUUCGACAUUGCUUUGCUAAUGCUGUAACGAAUGAACGGCCCCCGGCACCCUAGUCGCAAGAUUAGGACCGGUAAGGUCAUAUUCUGGCGCUUUCCGAGUCCAAAUGAUAGGUCGGACCCCCUAGGUGAGUACUUCGGAACCGCAAAUUGGGCUUCCGGGUCUGAUGCGCGUCGAUUUUGGGGGAACUAGGGAUGAUUGACCCGUCCUCUGGGACACUGGUACAUAAGCCGUGUAGCAAACCAUCUAUGUUGGGGAGUUUGGCUGGGGCGGAAAACUGCUACACGGCAACGGCAGUCUCUUAAGGUUCACUCAGCGACGACAGAAACGCCGCGUAGAGCAUAAAGGCAAAAGUGAGCUUAACUUACAUUUUCAGUAGUAAUGUGAAGCAAGAAAUUGAGGCUUAACGAUCCUUAGCGGCGGGUGCCAGCCCACGCUUGAGGUGAGAGAAAAGUUACCACAGGGAUUGAGAAAGUAACGCAUUUUUGGGUCGGGAAAGGUCGGUUCUCCAGAGAUUUUCGUCUAUUUUUCUGAUCGAGAGCCCAUUUUCGCUGGGAAAUGGGGCUUUUGACGGGAAAAAUGGGUCGAUUUCGGUGCGGGGGAGGAAAAUGGGUCAGGUAAAUAUACUGUUCGGGCCCGAAUGAGUACGUUUGCCUUUUCGAAAUUUGUCUCCCGCAUCGAUUUUGGUCGAUUUUGGACGAAGAAACUCGGUUUUCCCGACCUUUUCGGGCUCGAAAGGGGGUUCCAAUGAGUCGGAGGCUCGAGAGGGUGCUGAAAAUGCAGUCUCCGACCUCGUGGCGACGCACCUGGAUGCUGGGACAACCCGAAAAGCUGAGAGAAACCUGAAAACAGGGUGCUCGAAGCUCGAAAACAGCGAAGAUACCAAGCGUUACCUGGUAAUUCCAGGUCGCGGAUCGCUUCCCGGAGGGGGGGGCGAGGGUUAUAACUCUUCGUCUGGGGUUUAUCAGCAGGCAACAAGGUCAUCCGAUCGAAAAAUCAAGGAAUUUGAACCACUUUUGUGGUCAAAUCCAGCUUUUUUCGAGGGAAAAAGGUGACUGCGUGCUUCAAAGACUGGAAAGGUGUGGGUUUGGGUGGGGAAACCAGCAUAGGCGACCUCAUUUGAGCUUAAGGUACAGUCUCUCCUCGCUCGGAGUAACCGAUUUCCAAGGGUAAAACGAGUGAUCGGGCCUUUUUUGCACCGAAAACGGGGUUUCGACCCUAUUUUUGUGGUAAAAUCGAGGUCUGACGAGGUCGGCAAUGCCGAAAUCGGGUGUUUUCGAUCGGAACUGGCUUGUGGCCGCCAAGCGUUCAUAGCGACGUGGC
rnacentral:rRNA from 1 species